rnacentral:lncRNA from 1 species
AACCAGAACAAUCCAAUCAAAAAUGAGUUUUCCAUCAUUGGGCAGAUAACAGCAACGGUAGAAUCACAAUGAAAUCCGAGACAUAAGUGUCUCCAACCCUACAUAACACAGUACAUAGGAAAACUAUGAUCUCCUUAGAAGGGUAUAUACGGAGAAAGCAAAAGGCACAAUGGUCACAAAGGCUCUAAUCAGAUUCAGAUACCAUAAAAGCCUAUAACAACAAUAUAAAAGGACGAUGUAAUGUCAUCAUUGUCAUAAUCAAACAACUCACUAUAUUCAUUCCAAUCUACAGCUUCAGAGUUCAGGGGUAAAAGUAAGCAGAAACAACAAACAAAGAAUACGCCAUAAAACAACUCAUCAUUGGCCACAUAUCAAAGCCUUUGAAAUUCAUAGAGCAUAUGUUAGGCAGAUGGGAAAAAAAGCACUGAAAGGUUUACUAAAGUAUCACAAGUUAACAAACAUGAAAAUUACACAUUGAGGUGUUGAACAGGAAAAAGGUUGACAAGAGUUUUUCAACAACUAAAUGUUUAACACUUCCAAAGCAGCAACUGAAAAUGAGGGAGAUAACAUGAUUGAUGGCCUAUGAAGUGAAUCAAUAAGAGAGAUGAUAAAAGUUCAAAACUGUCCCAAGCAUUUAAAUUAAUAAUAAAUAAGUUUUUAAAAAAGGCAGAGCUGUAUCUCAACUUUUGCACAAUUCUUAGAGAGGCUUUUGAUAAUUUCAUCUAACAACAAAAGACCAUGCAUUGUGAACUGUGAUUAAAAAUAAGAUAUAUUCAGUGAGAUUGACAAAAUCCUUAAGACUAAUGAAGCUAAAGGCUCAUACAAUCCAUCCCAGAGAGACCCUACUACGAAUCAGUAGCAUUACAUUUCCAUAUUAUCCUCAACAAAGGACAAAAUGGACAGCCUAAAAUAACCCCAUUAUAGAAAACUACUAAAUUACCAUGCAUACAACUAUGGGUAUGCAAGAGAAUGAUCGAGAUACAAAUUCUAUGCAGAAAAUAUAAAUAGCAUGUUACAUGUUACAUUACCCAACAAAAGGAUUCAAACGAAAAUAGUAUGAUCAAGAUACAAAUCCUGGUCCAUCUCGAAUAUUACAGUAGCUGGUGGUGGCGGCAAAAAAAAGAUACACAUGUACUUAAAGUAAAAUCAGAGGAAGAAGAAUCGUGAAAAAUAGACACACAUAUUUAUGGUUUGGCACUGUAUAUAGCAUUUAUUAAUGCCAGAAGUCAAAGGAUAAACACCAUACAAGGUUUUCUUUGGACUAAAUUGCCCUCUUUCGAAAAAGUGCAACUAAAUAGAGCCCUCAGAUCUCUCAUAGCUUUGUCAAGAUUAUGUACAGUUCACGGUAAAUUAAUUCAUCAAUAGCUUUUCACACACCACCUUACCACUAAAGAAAUACCUAGUAUAUAUAUAUACAUACACACAAACGUGUGUACGUAGACAGAAGAGGAGGAGGUGGAGGAGGAAGUAGGGAGAGACAGAGAGAGAAUGAAAGGAGGUGGAGUGCAAAAGCCAGAGAUGAAUCAAAAAACAGAACCAUCCAAUCAAAGAUGAGUUUUCCAUCAUUGGCAAAAUAACAGCAACAGUAGAACCACAAUGAAAACUAAGACAUAAGUGUUUAAAACCCUACAUAACAUCGCAGAGAGAAAAAAACUAUGAUCUCCUUGAAAGAGUACACAUUGAGAAAGCAAAAGGCAACAAGGCCACAAUGGCUCUAAUCAAUAUAAAAGGAGGAUGUAAUUCAAAGAAAGUAAAAUUCGCCCAGAUUUCAUUGUUUUUAUAAUUAAACGGUAGAGGAACCCAUUUCUCUCGAUCCAAUCUACAGCUUCGGAGUUCAGACAUAAAAGUAAACAGAAGCAACAAACAAAAGAACUACCCUACAUGACAGCUUCUCAUCAUUGGCCACAGAUCAAAACCUUUGAAAUUCAUCAAGCAAAUUUUACACAGACGCAAUCGAAGGCAUUGAAAGAUUCACUAGACGUACUUUCUUAAGUAUCACCAGACAACAAACAAGAAAAUGGUGGAACAAAAGGCAUCGAGUACAGAUGAGGGAGAUACUAUAAUUGAUGGCAUAUGAAGUUCAUCAAAAAAAUGAGAUGAUUGAAGUUCAAAAACUGCCCCAAAGCAAAUAUAUUAAGCAUUUAAACUAAUAAUAACAUUAAAGACAGCUAAUAUUUCAGUUUUAGCACAACUCUUAGAGAGGCUUUGAAUGAUUUCAUCUAGCAACAAAAGACCUUGCAUUGCAAACUAUGAUUGCAAAUAAGAUAUAUCCAGCGAGAUUGACAAAAUCCAGAAGAUCAAUGAAGCUAAAGACUCGUACAAACCAUCCCAGUGAGACCAUACUACUAAUCAGUAGCAUUAGAUGUUCAUAUUGUACUCGAGAAAGGAAAAAAAGAACAGCCUAAAAAAACCCAUUAUAGAAAACUACUAGAUUAUCAUGCAUUCAAGUAUGGGCAUGCAAGUGUAUGAUCGAGAUGCAAAUGAUAUACAGAAAACAUAAAUAGCAUGAUGAUACGUUACCCAAAGAAUGCAUUCAACCGAAAAUAACAUGAUCAAGAUACAAGUCCUAGUCCAUCUCCAAUAUUACCGUAGCUGGUGGCGGCGGCACAAAAGAGGAAAAAAACAGUAAUGAAGACGUAAGACAGGGAAAG